rnacentral:rRNA from 1 species
GAAUAUUGGACAAUGGGGGGAACCCUGAUCCAGCCAUGCCGCGUGUGUGAAGAAGGCCUUUUGGUUGUAAAGCACUUUAAGCGAGGAGGAGGAGCUCUAGGUUAAUACCCAAGAUGCUUGGACGUUACCGACAGAAUCAGCACCGGCUAACUUCGUGCCAGCAGCCGCGGUAAUACGAAGGGUGCAAGCGUUAAUCGGAAUUACUGGGCGUAAAGCGCGGGUAGGUGGUUUGUUAAGUUGGAAGUGAAAGCCCCGGGCUCAACCUGGGAACUGCUUUCAAAACUGGCAAGCUAGAGUAUGGCUGAGGGUGGUGGAAUUUCCUGUGUAGCGGUGAAAUGCGUAGAUAUAGGAAGGAACACCAGUGGCGAAGGCGACCACCUGGGCUAAUACUGACACUGAGGUGCGAAAGCGUGGGGAGCAAACAG